UGCCAGCCGCCGCGGUAAUACGAAGGGUGCAAGCGUUAAUCGGAAUUACUGGGCGUAAAGCGUGCGUAGGCGGCUUAUUAAGCCUGAUGUGAAAGCCCUGGGCUCAACCUGGGAAUGGCAUCGGGGACUGGUAGGCUAGAGUUUGGGAGAGGGUGGUGGAAUUUCCGGUGUAGCGGUGAAAUGCGUAGAGAUCGGAAGGAACAUCUGUGGCGAAGGCGGCCACCUGGCCUAAAACUGACGCUGAGGCGCGAAAGCGUGGGGAGCAAACAGGAUUAGAUA
rnacentral:rRNA from 1 species